GGGGCUGUAGCUCAGUGGCAAAGUGCUUGCCUAGCAUGCAUGAGGCACUGGAUUCGAUCCUCAGCACCA
rnacentral:tRNA from 1 species